rnacentral:rRNA from 1 species
UACGGGGGGGGCAAGCGUUGUUCGGAAUUACUGGGCGUAAAGGGCUCGUAGGCGGCCAACUAAGUCAGACGUGAAGUCCCUCGGCUUAACCGGGGAACUGCAUCUGAUACUGGAUGGCUUGAGAUUGGGAGAGGGAUGCGGAAUUCCAGGUGUAGCGGUGAAAUGCGUAGAUAUCUGGAGGAACACCGGUGGCGAAGGCGGCAUCCUGGACCAACACUGACGCUGAGGAGCGAAAGCCAGGGGAGCAAACGGG